AUUGAACGCUGGCGGCAGGCUUAACACAUGCAAGUCGAGCGGGGACUUCGGUCCUAGCGGCGAACGGGUGAGGAAUGCUUGGGAAUCUGCCCAGUAGCGGGGGAUAACGUUUCGAAAGGAACGCUAAUACCGCAUACGCCCUACGGGGGGAAAGGGGGGGAUCUUCGGACCUCUCACUAUUGGAUGAGCCCAAGUCGGAUUAGCUAGUUGGUGGGGUAAAGGCCUACCAAGGCGACGAUCCGUAGCUGGUCUGAGAGGAUGAUCAGCCACACUGGAACUGAGACACGGUCCAGACUCCUACGGGAGGCAGCAGUGGGGAAUAUUGGACAAUGGGCGAAAGCCUGAUCCAGCCAUGCCGCGUGUGUGAAGAAGGCCUUCGGGUUGUAAAGCACUUUAAGCGAGGAGGAAUGGCUCUGGGUUAAUACCCUUGAGCAGUGACGUUACUCGCAGAAUAAGCACCGGCUAACUCUGUGCCAGCAGCCGCCGUAAGAC
rnacentral:rRNA from 1 species